AUUGUAGUUGAUUUUUGACGUUUGAUUUUCCUUUUUUAUUAUAUUAAUUUGAAUACUAAUUAAACUUGUUGUAUUAUACUAUUUAUAUUGUAAUAUGAUCGAAUUUAGGUUUUGAUUUGAAGCGAUCACACCGCAAAGUGGAAACAACCGUUGAAAGAAGAUAUGACUUACGAAAUAAAUAAUGGUAAUGUGUAUGACAAUGACUUUCAAUGGGAGAUUUGUGAUCACCUGAAGAAGUUUGUUUUCUUCAGUGAUACAAUUGUGUUGAGCUUGGCAGUAUUCCCCUUAAAAAGUUUUUCCUUAAAGAAUUUUCAAAAAUCCUUCAAGGAGAUUGUAAAGUUGACAAACUUGAAGGUAUUUCCUUUACAUGAUAUUAUAUUGAUGUAUAACAUCUUUCUCAAUAUCGUUUUCAAUUUUAACAUAAUAUCUCUUUGUUUAUAAGAUAUUAUAGGUGUCGUCCACGAAAUUAACAAUUAUCAGUCGAAGUCAGGCGGGAAGAAGAUUGUGAUUUCUUUGAGACUUAGGGAUUUGGGGUAAAUCUGUUAUAUUAUGUAUAAUUUAAUACUUUUAUAUAUUGAAGUUACAUAAUUUUAAACUUUCUUUAAAAUUAUGUAUAGGGGUAAUAUUAUAAUCUGUAGUUUAUGGGACAACUAUGGAUCUAAGUUUUUAAGUUACUUUAAUGAUGACACAAAAUCUAGAGCAAUUGUCAUUGUUAUGACUCAUGCAAUGAUCAAAGAUUUCCAAGGUUGUUUCAUGGAAUAAAAAAUGCAUAUUCAUAGUAUAUUUUAAUAUUAUUGGAUGUAAAUAGUAUUUUUUCUUCUUCAUUUAAAUGUAUUUUUGUAAAAUUCUACAGUUUCCAAUGGAUGGAGUGGCACAAAGUUAUUGAUCAACGAAGACAUACCUGUUAUCCAGGAAUUUUUGUCGAAG
rnacentral:lncRNA from 1 species